rnacentral:rRNA from 1 species
UGAACGCUGGCGGUAUGCCUAACACAUGCAAGUCGUACGAGAGUUUUUAACUCAAGUGGCGGACGGGUGAGUAACACGUGAGAAUUUGCCUUUAGGAGGGGGAUAACAGAGAGAAAUCGCUGCUAAUACCCCAUAUGCUUUCGAGUGAAAUGAAUUUAUUCGCCUAGAGAGAAGCUCGCGGCUGAUUAGCUUGUUGGUAAGGUAAUGGCUUACCAAGGCGACGAUCAGUAUCUGGUUUGAGAGGACGAUCAGACACACUGGAACUGAGACACGGUCCAGACUCCUACGGGAGGCAGCAGUGGGGAAUUUUGCGCAAUGGGCGAAAGCCUGACGCAGCAAUACCGCGUGAAGGAAGACGGCCUAUGGGUUGUAAACUUCUUUUCUCAGGGAGGAACUCAAUGACGUGUACCUGAGGAAUAAGCAUCGGCUAACUCC